UUGAAGAAAAUUUUAUGAAAUAAUUAAGUAUAGGCCUAAAUUGAUUAGUUUAGUGUCUUGUUAUAAAAUCAUUAAAAGGAUCUUUAUGAUUUACAUAUUUCCAACUUUAUGAAUGACUUAGGCCUUCUUUUUAAUACAGAGCAUUGAAUACCAUUAUAUAUAUUUAUCACUGCUGUCAACGGUGGAGAUAUGGACGGAAAUCGUCAUCAUGCAGCGUUGAACCACCGAAGAGGUAACAGAAAUACUGGAACUCGGAGACGUGUACCCAGAAGUUUGUAUUCGAAUGGUUUCACUUCUUUGAAUAUAUAUAUAUUUUUUUUACCAAGUAUUAGAAAUUAAUGAAAUAUAAUUAACGUAAGCCAUCAGGAAUGAAUUCCAAUCCAUAUGAUCUUUUUACAUAAUUUUAUUACUUUAAAUAAUAAUUAUAGAAGGAUUGCAAAUCAGUCUAACGUAAAUGUAUAAUGAAAUACGAUCAAAUAAUACCUGCGUUAAUAUUUUCAUAAGAAUUAUUCAUAAUUUUAAUUUUGAAUACCUACACCAUUCAUAAAAUGGAUUGAGAAUUAUUAACGUAAAAAAAGACCUUUAUGACAUGACUUAAUUUUUUAUACCUACAUUUUUAAUCUCGUGUGGUCACCAAUAAUUUAUUUUGAAAUUAUGUAUUUUUAUUCACAUCAGCUGCGUGUAGUAGUUCACAUUUCAUUUUAUUUUGCAUUAUAUGUAAUAAAAUUGAAGGUUUUGCACCCUUUUAAUAAUGACAUUGCAUCUCAAUACCUUAAGAAUGCGCUCAUGAUUCUUCGCUAACACAUCCUGGAAAGAUAAACGAAAUGAGGUCCUGAGGUGCGACAAAAAAGAUCUUGACCAGAAAUCAUAGCAGUGAUAUGAACCACCCAUCAGAUUCAGUCAAUGUGUUCCUAAUAGGAUUUGGCUCAUGACAACGGAGACCCUUUCAGAAAAGUCAGAGCGAUACUAUUUCAAAUAUGCCACAUCUUCGCUUAUUUUUAUUUUAUUUUGCACGUUUUUCUCUUAUUAUUGUCUCAAAAGUAGAUAAACAAUUCUCUUAAAUUCCAUAGAAGUAAAAAAUAACGUGUACUGUGAUUAAAAGUUCAAUUUAAAGAAAGUCUUUUCUCGAUUUAGAAUUUUGUAAUCAGUUUAAAUUUUCCAAAUUUUUUCUUUUUUUCUCUUUCUUUGAAAAUAUUAGAUUUUUAUAGUUUUUCUUUACGAACUCUUAUGUAAUCUUUUAUUUCAAAAUUGAUGUAGGAAUCUAUAUACUUUUUUAAAAAUUUGAGUCAAUCAAGUAAAAAGUAUUACACAAUCUUACCAUGAAAAAUAAUGACGUCAUUUGCUGAUUGAUGGAAAUAAGAAUGAAGAACAGGACAUUUCGAUUAUGCGCAGAAUUAUCAAAGAAGACGGGCAAACAGCAUUUUGAAUGGGAAUUCCAGAUAUGAAACUGGAAGUAGAGCUGAUCACGCCGACAGACGCGACCAACGCGAGUCAAGAGGUGUCGGACACAUUUUGAGUGAGAAUUCUAGACAUGAAGCGCGUAAUGGAAACUAUCAUGAUUAUGGUCAUGGGUCAAGAUAUCAACGCAGAGAUUUAAGUAGAAAUUCUCAAGAUGCAAGCAAUCGCAGUAACAGAAAUACAUCGAGACCUCGGAGAUGCUCGCCAAAUGAAAGAAGAAAAUCGCUUGCGGUUGAAAGAGAAAUUCGAAAUUCUUCGCAGAGAGGUAGUACUUCUUCGAUGAACCUGGAUCAAAAACAAAAACAGACAUUUAAUUCAUCAAAUUAUAACAAUGAUGAUGGGUUAUUCGUGAAUAAUCGAGAAGGUCAAGUCGAAAAUGAAGCACAAAGGGCUGUAAAUAAAGACGGAAAGCCACAGGAAAACAACAGUGCCGUUGGAGGACGUGCACUUAUAUCAAACUCUCCUAUCGCUCCAAGAGAUGAGCAUAAUCGUGGACCGAUGUGGGGAUAUUGGACCUGGCCUCGGCCUCGGCCUCCAUUUGUCAGGAUUGGUCCUUUACGAAUCUUUCCAUGGCCUCCAAUUCAUUUCUUCUUCCCAUAUGGAUAUCGCCCAUUUUUUGGGCCGCGUCUGCUUCCAAUUCGUGGACCGCGCCCUGGAGGUGUACGAAGACAAAAUUAAAAAAAUCAUUGAAAAAUAUAAAUAUUUUAAAGUAAACGUUUUAGUAUAUGGUACUUGGUAUUCGAAUGCAUCGACAAUUAAGCUGUGGACAUAACAUUACAAUAGAAUCAAUUACUAAUAAAAAUUAUCAAACACCUUA